GUGUUUGCUUCGGCAUAUAUAUUAAAAUUGGAAUGAUAUGGAGAAGAUUAGUAUGGCCCCUGAGCAAGGAUGACACACAAUUCGUGAAGCGUUCCAAAUUUUU
rnacentral:snRNA from 1 species